CAGUUGUGCAGUGUCAUCUCCUAGGAUUCCCUUCUAGAUCACUAGCGUCUGCAGGUGCUUCUGGGAAAGAUGGCAGCAACCUAGUAUACUUCUUAAUUGUAGGAGCAACAGUGACUGGGGCAGGAAUUUAUUAUGCCUACAAGACUAUUAAAGAAGACCAAAAAAGAUAUAAUGAAAGAAUAAUGGGAUUAGGACUGUCACCAGAAGAGAAACAGAGAAGAGCCAUUGCCUCUGCUGCAGAAGGAGGCUCAGUUCCUCCAAUCAGGGUACCAAGUCACGUCCCUUUCCUGCUGAUUGGUGGAGGUACUGCUGCCUUUGCAGCAGCUAGAUCCAUCCGGGCUCGGGAUCCUGGGGCCAGGGUCCUCAUCGUAUCUGAAGACCCUGAACUACCAUACAUGCGACCUCCUCUUUCAAAAGAAUUGUGGUUUUCAGAUGACCCAAAUGUCACAAAGACACUGCAGUUCAGACAGUGGAAUGGAAAAGA
rnacentral:lncRNA from 1 species